rnacentral:rRNA from 1 species
AACGAACGCUGGCGGCAGGCUUAACACAUGCAAGUCGAGCGCCCCGCAAGGGGAGCGGCAGACGGGUGAGUAACGCGUGGGAAUCUACCCAUCACUACGGAACAACUCCGGGAAACUGGAGCUAAUACCGUAUACGUCCUUCGGGAGAAAGAUUUAUCGGUGAUGGAUGAGCCCGCGUUGGAUUAGCUAGUUGGUGGGGUAAUGGCCUACCAAGGCGACGAUCCAUAGCUGGUCUGAGAGGAUGAUCAGCCACAUUGGGACUGAGACACGGCCCAAACUCCUACGGGAGGCAGCAGUGGGGAAUAUUGGACAAUGGGCGAAAGCCUGAUCCAGCCAUGCCGCGUGAGUGAUGAAGGCCCUAGGGUUGUAAAGCUCUUUCAACGGUGAAGAUAAUGACGGUAACCGUAGAAGAAGCCCCGGCUAACUUCGUG